CAGGCCUAACACAUGCAAGUCGAACGGGCACCUUCGGGUGUCAGUGGCAGACGGGUGAGUAACACGUGGGAACGUGCCCUUCGGUUCGGAAUAACUCAGGGAAACUUGAGCUAAUACCGGAUACGCCCUUACGGGGAAAGGUUUACUGCCGAAGGAUCGGCCCGCGUCUGAUUAGCUAGUUGGUGAGGUAACGGCUCACCAAGGCGACGAUCAGUAGCUGGUCUGAGAGGAUGAUCAGCCACACUGGGACUGAGACACGGCCCAGACUCCUACGGGAGGCAGCAGUGGGGAAUAUUGGACAAUGGGCGAAAGCCUGAUCCAGCCAUGCCGCGUGAGUGAUGAAGGCCUUAGGGUUGUAAAGCUCUUUCGACGGGGACGAUAAUGACGGUACCCGUAGAAGAAGCCCCGGCUAACUUCGUGCCAGCAGCCGCGGUAAU
rnacentral:rRNA from 1 species